AAUCUUUAAAACAUGUUAAAACUUUCAACAACGGAUCUCUUGGCUCUCGCAUCGAUGAAGAACGCAGCGAAAUGCGAUAAGUAAUGUGAAUUGCAGAAUUCAGUGAAUCAUCGAAUCUUUGAACGCACAUUGCGCCCUUUGGUAUUCCUUAGGGCAUGCCUGUUCGAGCGUCA
rnacentral:rRNA from 1 species